CAUCGCUGCGGGAUGUAGGGACACACCGGGGGACGGUGUGGGGACGGCCCUUGGCGAGAAGCGGAGCUAUCGUCCCUCGGCACGCCUGGGGCUGCUCUUGGAUGCAGCACUUUAAUCCUGUUCCAAGAGCUGGCCUGCUUUGCCUCUUCUCGUCCAAACAUUUCUGGACUUUCACCUAAAUUCUGAUUCUAUAGGCAAUAAACACUGGCCCCCCCCGGCACCUCUGCUCCCUGGGACCGGGGCUCGCUCAGCUGCCUCGGACUUUGGGGACUCGCCGGGGCGGCGGGGAGGGCAGAUCUGUCGCCCACCCGGUAAGUACGCGACCGCAAACGCCGGUUGAGCUCCCGGCACGGCUCCCGGCACCGGCGGGGAGGAGGCUGCUGGGGGGCAGGAGGAGACGGCCCUGGGGCAGGGAUGGAGGGGGUACCCAACCAGCACCCCGCUUCCAGUCAAUGGAGCCGGCUGGGGCUCGGGGCAGGGGUGCUGCUGGCCGGGCUGGGGUUUUUGGUGCGGGACUCAUCCCCCUCCCUUAGCUCCCAGCGGCAGGAGGUCCGGCUGCGAGCCCCCCCCUGUUGCUCAGCUCCCCGGGGAAGAGCUGCCCCUCGCCGUCCCCUCGGCCCCGGAGUAAACAAGUGGGUGAAACUCAACACUCCGGGGCUGCGGGUGGCUAAGAAUAACGUCCCGCUGGCUGCUCGGGCCCUGCAAUCUGCUCUCUCAGCCUUCCCCCUGCCAGCUGCCCGUUGCCCCCCCCGGCCAUUUCGGCUCCUCUCCCAGCGCCAGCCUCGCCAGGGAGGGCAGGGAGCCCAAGCAUCCAGUGCCCAGCAGCUUUUGGGGGAAGCCGGGCAGCAGCUGAAGGGCAGGACGCCCAGCAAGGGGUGGGAGAUGGCCGGGCACCGUGGCAGAAGGGGUCCCAGCCGUCCCUGGAGCACAGGGACCGGGUCAGAGCAGCACCCACCACCCAGCAUUUGGCUGCUGAGGAAGGGAGGAGGUAGCGGAGGACGCACCAAAAGGCCAGGCAGGGAGCAGCGGGCAGGCUGUGCCAGGGACGCGGCUCAUCACGACGAGGUCCUGCGGUCACCGAAUGAGCCCCCAGCCCUCUCCGGCACGGCGAGACGAGAGCUCGGCUUCAGCGCACCCACCUCCGAGGGGGUACGGGGAGGAUGCUCCCCCCAAACUUAGCACCAAGCAGGGCUGAACAUCUGGAGAUGGGGCCAGAGAUGGGGAGAAGACCCCUUCCUCCUCCUCCCCGAAGCACCAGGGCUAUUCCACAGGCGGGGGAUACACGCUGCAUCCCGGUGUCCUCAGCAAACCCCUGCUGAAGAUGGGGGGCACCCAGCAUGGCCACACCAGCUCCCUCCUGCUCCUGUCCAGCAACGGGACCCGCAGAGGAGAGCAUCACCCCGAAACACGUCUCGAAUGACUACAGCGCUGCUGGAAACCAGGGACAAGGGGCUGGUCCCCGGUCAGGGGCUGCGGGAGGAGAGGGAUGGGGAUGGGGUAACCUGUCCCCAGCUCGAGCCGCGGCUGCUGCCCCAACGACGCCAGUGAAGUCAGCGAUGAUCAAAGGAACCUUUUCCAUCCUGUGAUUUCAGCACAGACUCCCCUUUCUCUGUAAAAGCUCUUUCAGAAGUUUAAAAAUAAAUUUCUCUUCCGCAGCAAUUUCUAUUCUUUCUCAUUAAAGAAGCAAAAAAGAAAAGGGACAAGGAACUUGGCGGUGAGGAGCCCUCGCCCUCGCCAAGGCGACAUUGUUCCUUAUCGCACGCUCCCCGGUGCCUUUUUUCCUGCCUUUGUUUAAAAAGCCCAAGCGACGGGAGCAACUGUCCCAGCAGCUCACCCAACAUCCCAGCCGGGCUCCCAGGUAGGAUGGGAAUCACCCGCACUGGCUCUGAACCCCGGCAGCGACUGAGCCUUCCUCCCAGCACACGCUCCUCUGCUUCCCAACUCCCUUCCUGGUUUCUGAGCUCUCGCACAGGCUGACACUCCUGGGUUUUGGACUUUUUUUUCUUCUAGAUGAUUUUUAAGCACGAAUCCCUCCUUUAUAAUCACAGCCUCCAGGAACUGGACUUAAAAUUGGGAGAAAUAGCAGACCCCGUGAAGGCUGGGGUCCCCUUUUCCUUCCAGGGAUGGAAAGCUGCUCGACAGGUUUUCCUUGGGAUUUAAGGACAGAAGCUGAAUUGCACGUGGCUUUUCCUGGCUUGGUCGCUGUAACCCGAAUAUCAUCAAUAGAUCCGUGUAAAAGCUCAGGACACACCAACCCCACAGCGGAGAGGGGUGCCUGGCCCCGCGGGAGAGGGUCCCUCUCCCAGCUCCCACCCCUGCGAGCAGCACCCAUGGCUGCGUGGAGGCCAAACCUGCUUCCCUCCGUCUUCGAGCGUGGUUUUUGUUGGGCUUGACCUGCGCGGGCCAGCCGUGAGCUGGGCCUUUCAUGUCCUACGGCAUCUUUAAGCCGAAAGCAGUUGCACUGCAACAGCCUGGUGCAAAACCCUGGGGCCCUACGCCAGGAACCCCCUCAUCCAGGGACCAGGGUGAGACGGGGCCGGAUCCCACCACCCGGCGAGCGAGCCAGGCUGGAGGAUGAGUUUCGUUCAGGGAGCACACAAGGAAAGGCUUCAGGAAGUCCUGAGUGUUGGGAUGGAGGAACCAGCCCAUGGGAUGGAGGGACCCACUCAUGGGUUGAAGAAACCUACCUACCCAUGGGAUGGAGGAACCUACCCAAAGGAUGGCUGGACCCAUCCAAGGGAUGGACGGACCCACCUGCCACCCCAUCGCCAGUGGCUCCAGGGGUGCUGAGAUGCUACCCAGUGACCCCGCCGUGCCGUGUCCCUCCUGCAAACCCAUCGAACAUCACGCCCGCUUUUCCCCAGCCUCGCACCAAGCUCUGCCGCUGCCCUGCCCUGACGAGAGCCACCCCGGAGCGGGACGGAGCAUCCCUGGGCAGCUCAACACACACACGCUCCCUUCCAGCUCUAUUAAGGCCUCCGAUUCCUAAUGACAAAAGGACAAACAUUUCCCUCUUCAAACCCAAUUAUCUCGCUGCUAUUUAUACAGAGCGAGGGCCACGGGAAUGGCGUGGUCAGCCUAACCGCCGGCUCGCUCCGCGGUGGAAGGGGCUCGGUUAUACAACCCGGUUACUCAUCUCCCACCCGGCCGGCGUUACUCGGGGCAGCUCCUUCCUCCCCUGCUCAUCCUCAGCCUCCCCGCUACCCGCCGCUGACUCACAGGAAGGGCAAAGGCAACGCCGUCGCAGGCAGCUGCCGGCUCCAUAUUUAGUUGCCGAAACGCGAGGGCUGGUUUGGCACUGACUCAGGCGGAGCCGGGGUCGGUCGGUGCCGGUACCCUACAACCGGGGAUGCUCCCAUCCCUAUAAACCAGGUUUGCUUCCGCUCCGGUGAUGCUCCGGAGCCAAUUCCCGGGUAUUUGGUGUUUGGGAGCGGUCACGCUCCUGCGUGCCUGAGGAUUGCAGUGAAAAAGGGAGUGGGAACCCGCGAGAAAACCCAAGUGGAGGGAAAAAUAAAGCCACGAAUCCCGUGUGGGUUUUUUUUGGUA